rnacentral:rRNA from 1 species
AUUGAACGCUGGCGGCAGGCCUAACACAUGCAAGUCGAGCGGAUGAAGGGAGCUUGCUCCUGGAUUCAGCGGCGGACGGGUGAGUAAUGCCUAGGAAUCUGCCUGGUAGUGGGGGAUAACGUCCGGAAACGGGCGCUAAUACCGCAUACGUCCUGAGGGAGAAAGUGGGGGAUCUUCGGACCUCACGCUAUCAGAUGAGCCUAGGUCGGAUUAGCUAGUUGGUGGGGUAAAGGCCUACCAAGGCGACGAUCCGUAACUGGUCUGAGAGGAUGAUCAGUCACACUGGAACUGAGACACGUUCCAGACUCCUACGGGAGGCAGCAGUGGGGAAUAUUGGACAAUGGGCGAAAGCCUGAUCCAGCCAUGCCGCGUGUGUGAAGAAGGUCUUCGGAUUGUAAAGCACUUUAAGUUGGGAGGAAGGGCAGUAAGUUAAUACCUUGCUGUUUUGACGUUACCAACAGAAUAAGCACCGGCUAACUUCGUGCCAGCAGCCGCGGUAAUACGAAGGGUGCAAGCGUUAAUCGGAAUUACUGGGCGUAAAGCGCGCGUAGGUGGUUCAGCAAGUUGGAUGUGAAAUCCCCGGGCUCAACCUGGGAACUGCAUCCAAAACUACUGAGCUAGAGUACGGUAGAGGGUGGUGGAAUUUCCUGU